UGGGGAAUAUUGCACAAUGGGCGAAAGCCUGAUGCAGCGACGCCGCGUGAGGGAUGACGGCCUUCGGGUUGUAAACCUCUUUCAGCAGGGAAGAAGCGGAAGUGACGGUACCUGCAGAAGAAGCGCCGGCUAACUACGUGCCAGCAGCCGCGGUAAUACGUAGGGCGCAAGCGUUGUCCGGAAUUAUUGGGCGUAAAGAGCUCGUAGGCGGUUAGUCGCGUCUGCUGUGAAAACUCGAGGCUCAACCUCGGGCUUGCAGUGGGUACGGGCUGACUAGAGGUGCGGUAGGGGUGACUGGAAUUCCUGGUGUAGCGGUGGAAUGCGCAGAUAUCAGGAGGAACACCGAUGGCGAAGGCAGGUCACUGGCCGCAACUGACGCUGAGGAGC
rnacentral:rRNA from 1 species